GACAGAGGUGGCGAGCGUUGUCCGGAGUCACUGGGCGUAAAGCGCGCGCAGGCGGUGACCUAAGUGUCGUGUGAAAGCCCCCGGCUCAACUGGGGGAGGCCACGGCAGACUGGGUCGCUCGAGCUGCGGAGAGGCCCCUCGAAUUGCCGGUGUAGCGGUGAAAUGCGCAGAGAUCGGCAGGAAGACAAAGGGGGAAGCCAGGGGGCUGGCCGCAUGCUGACGCUGAGGCGCGACAGCGUGGGGAGUAAACCGG
rnacentral:rRNA from 1 species